CCUACGGGAGUCAGCAGUGGGGAAUAUUGCACAAUGGGGGAAACCCUGAUGCAGCGACGCCGCGUGAGUGAAGAAGUAUUUCGGUAUGUAAAGCUCUAUCAGCAGGGAAGAAGAAAGACGGUACCUGACUAAGAAGCCCCGGCCAACGACGUGCCAGCAGCCGCGGUAAUACGUAGGGGGCAAGCGUUAUCCGGAUUUACUGGGUGGAAAGGGAGCGUAGACGGCGGUGCAAGGCUGAAGUUGAAGCCCAGGGCUCAACCCUGGGACUGCUUUGGAAACUGUGGGGCUAGAGUGCUGGAGAGGUAAGUGGAAUUCCUAGUGUAGCGGUGAAAUGCGUAGAUAUUAGGAGGAACACCAGUGGCGAAGGCGGCUUACUGGGCAGUAACUGACGUUGAGGCUCGAAAGCGUGGGGAGCAAACAGGAUUAGAUACCCCUGUAGUC
rnacentral:rRNA from 1 species